GACGAACGCUGGCGGCGUGCUUAACACAUGCAAGUCGAACGAUGAAGCCCAGCUUGCUGGGUGGAUUAGUGGCGAACGGGUGAGUAACACGUGGGCAACCUGCCCCAAACUCUGGGAUAACUCCUCGAAAGAGGUGCUAAUACCGGAUACGAACUAGACAGACAUCUGUACUAGUUGGAAAGUUUUUCGGUUUGGGAUGGGCCCGCGGCCUAUCAGCUUGUUGGUGAGGUAACGGCUCACCAAGGCUACGACGGGUAACCGGCCUGGGAGGGCGACCGGUCACACGGGGACUGGGACACGGCCCAGACUCCGACGGGAGGCAGCAGUGGGGAAUAUUGCGCAAUGGGCGAAAGCCUGACGCAGCGACGCCGCGUGAGGGAUGAAGGUCUUCGGAUCGUAAACCUCUUUCAGUAGGGACGAAGCGAAAGUGACGGUACCUAAAGAAGAAGCACCGGCUAACUACGUGCCAGCAGCCGCCGUAA
rnacentral:rRNA from 1 species